rnacentral:rRNA from 1 species
AUGUCUUACUUUUUGCGAUCACACGCAAUCAAUACAA